AAGACUCUAGUUAAUAAUAUAACAUAGGAUUGUCAAUCCUAAAUAACUUGCUAAAGUGUGUCUUA
rnacentral:tRNA from 1 species